AUGCUUGAGGUUAGAGUAGAAGAACCUGUCCAGUUGCUCUCCUUCAAUGAUGACGUGAAAAGUGCUGAAGAAGUGUUUGAACUCGGAAGAGAUGAAAGUUCAUUUCUAACGAUAGGUCAUGGUAUGGUGCAAUAUCUGAAUCCCAACCUGCUUGAACGGCAUCACUAUCUGUAUGUUCAUGGCGCAGAUGAGCAUCCUAAGUAUGACAAUGGAGGGCCAGUUAUUGACUUUGAUGGCAAGAUUGUGGGAAUGGUCAGCAACAGCACGAGAGGGUCCAUUAUCCCUUCAUCCAUUUUGCUCAAGUGCUUGCAUUUGUGUAAGAAAUUUGGGUAUUGUCUUUUCUUUUAG
rnacentral:rRNA from 1 species